GGGCCUCUGCCAGCUUUUGUUUUAUGGUACUCCACACACUUAAUCUUUCUCGAAUUGUUUCACAGCUGUCUACAGAGUUUGCAUUAUUCACUCCAGAAGGGCAGGAACCUUGUUUUGUUCUGCGUUCCCCCAGCAUUCAGCUCUGAGGCUGGCGAGUUGCUGGUGUUUGUCGUUCAACAGAUACUUGAUUCAUUAAGCGGAUCACCAAAGGAGCUUGGUUUUCUCUUUGGGACUUCUGCUUCUGUUAUCAGUGCAGCGUUCCAAGGCCUUCUCCUGUGUGUCCAUUCAGCCCGUGACUGCGGACCCUCGAUGGAAGGCCUCAUUGCUCCGAUGUGAUUUUCUUCACCUCUCACACCCUCCUCAGCUGAGCCUGAAGGACAGGCCUUGGGGAGAGGGGACUUGCUACUGACAACUUGCAGAUGUGAUGACCUACUGUACCUUUCGACUCACACCAAAUGAUGGCUUUUGUUUUGGACUCCCCAUGAAUCGUUACUUUCCGUGGGGGAGCUGGACUUCACAGCUCUAACCUUGCAAGGUAAGCAGCCUCAGCAUC